rnacentral:rRNA from 1 species
GCAAGGGGAGCGGCAGACGGGAGAGUAACACGUGGGAAUGUACCCUUUGGUUCGGAACAACCCAGGGAAACUUGGGCUAAUACCGGAUAAGCCCUUACGGGGAAAGAUUUAUCGCCGAAGGAUCGGCCCGCGUCUGAUUAGCUAGUUGGUGGGGUAAUGGCCCACCAAGGCUACGAUCAGUAGCUGGUCUGAGAGGAUGAUCAGCCUCACUGGGACUGAGACACGGCCCAGACUCCUACGGGAGGCAGCAGUGGGGAAUAUUGGACAAUGGGCGCAAGCCUGAUCCAGCCAUGCCGCGUGGGUGAUGAAGGCCCUAGGG